AAAUUGAAGAGUUUGAUCAUGGCUCAGAUUGAACGCUGGCGGCAGGCCUAACACAUGCAAGUCGAGCGGAAACGAGUUAUCUGAACCUUCGGGGAACGAUAACGGCGUCGAGCGGCGGACGGGUGAGUAAUGCCUAGGAAAUUGCCCUGAUGUGGGGGAUAACCAUUGGAAACGAUGGCUAAUACCGCAUGAUGCCUACGGGCCAAAGAGGGGGACCUUCGGGCCUCUCGCGUCAGGAUAUGCCUAGGUGGGAUUAGCUAGUUGGUGAGGUAAGGGCUCACCAAGGCGACGAUCCCUAGCUGGUCUGAGAGGAUGAUCAGCCACACUGGAACUGAGACACGGUCCAGACUCCUACGGGAGGCAGCAGUGGGGAAUAUUGCACAAUGGGCGCAAGCCUGAUGCAGCCAUGCCGCGUGUGUGAAGAAGGCCUUCGGGUUGUAAAGCACUUUCAGUCGUGAGGAAGGUAGUGUAGUUAAUAGCUGCAUUAUUUGACGUUAGCGACAGAAGAAGCACCGGCUAACUCCGUGCCAGCAGCCGCGGUAAUACGGAGGGUGCGAGCGUUAAUCGGAAUUACUGGGCGUAAAGCGCAUGCAGGUGGUUUGUUAAGUCAGAUGUGAAAGCCCGGGGCUCAACCUCGGAAUUGCAUUUGAAACUGGCAGACUAGAGUACUGUAGAGGGGGGUAGAAUUUCAGGUGUAGCGGUGAAAUGCGUAGAGAUCUGAAGGAAUACCGGUGG
rnacentral:rRNA from 1 species